rnacentral:rRNA from 1 species
UACGGGGGGAGCAAGCGUUGUUCGGAUUUACUGGGCGUAAAGGGCGCGUAGGCGGCCAGCACAAGUCAGUUGUGAAAUCUCCGAGCUUAACUCGGAAAGGUCAACUGAUACUGUGCGGCUAGAGUGCAGAAGGGGCAACUGGAAUUCUUGGUGUAGCGGUGAAAUGCGUAGAUAUCAAGAGGAACAUCUGCGGCGAAGGCGGGUUGCUGGGCUGACACUGACGCUGGAGGCGCGAAAGCUAGGGGAGCGAACGGG